UACGUAGGGUGCAAGCGUUGUCCGGAAUCACUGGGCGUAAAGGGCGCGUAGGCGGCGUUUUAAGUCGGGGGUGAAAGCCUGUGGCUCAACCACAGAAUGGCCCUUCGAUACUGGGACGCUUGAGUAUGGUAGAGGUUGGUGGAACUGCGAGUGUAGAGGUGAAAUUCGUAGAUAUUCGCAAGAACACCGGUGGCGAAGGCGGCCAACUGGACCAUUACUGACGCUGAGGCGCGAAAGCGUGGGGAGCAAACGGG
rnacentral:rRNA from 1 species